AAACCAGCACCUCAAGUGGUCAGGAUGAUUAUUGGGCCUAAAGCAUCCGUAGCCGGCUCUGUAAGUUUUCGGUUAAAUCUGUACGCUUAACGUACAGGCUGCCGAGAAUACUGCAGAGCUAGGGAGUGGGAGAGGUAGACGGUACUCGGGAGGAAGUGGUAAAAUGCUUUGAUCUCUCGAUGACCACCUGUGGCGAAGGCGGUCUACCAGAACACGUCCGACGGUGAGGGAUGAAAGCUGGGGGAGCAAACCGGAUUAGAAACCCCAGUAGUCC
rnacentral:rRNA from 1 species